AAGUCGUAACAAGGUCUCCGUUGGUGAACCAGCGGAGGGAUCAUUACAGAGAAUCUCUCUCAUACCAUGGCGAACGAAACCCCCCCCAAACGACGUUCUUCGGCGGAGCGGCCCCCGUGGCGGCGCCGCCGGAGAGCCCUACAAACGCUGUAUUUAAGUGGCUUCUCUGAGUAUGAUUAUCGCAAUCAGUCAAAACUUUCAACAACGGAUCUCUUGGCUCUG
rnacentral:misc_RNA from 1 species